GGGGAGGUGGCUCAGAGGUUAAGAGCACUGACUGUUCUUCCUUCCAGAGGUCCUGAGUUCAAUUCCCAGCAACCACA
rnacentral:tRNA from 1 species